ACCCAGGGAGGGCAAGGAGGGCACCGAGGAAGCGGUGAUACUGGAACUGAGUUUUCUGAGCUAACUAGGAGCGUACCAGAAGACCAAGGAGAGGAAGAGCAGUCCAAGCAGAGGGAAUAGCCAUGCAAAAGCCCUGUUUUCCCCUCAGUGCAGGUGUUCAUAGUUGGACAGCUCUCCUGGCUGCCUCCGCUGACUCAGUAAUCAAGUAUUCUUUCAUCUUGUGAUGCUGCCAGCUUCAAAACGUGGUCUCCAAGGUCAUCAGAGAAGGGGACAUGGGUUCAAUCCCUGGGCCAGGAAGAUCCCAUAUGCCACGGAGCAACUACGCCCGUGUGCCACAACUACUGAGCCUGUGUUCUAGAGCCUGCGAGCCACAACUACUGAGCCCAUGCACCGUAACUACUGAAGCCCGCGUGCCUAGAACCUGUGCUCCACAACAAGAGAAGACACCGCAAUGAGAAACCCGUGCACCACAAUGAAAAGUAGCCCCUGCUCGCCACAGCUAGAGAAAGCCCGUGCACAGCAGCGAAGACCCAAUGC